CUGGGAGGACCAUCUCCUAAGGCUAAAUACUCUCUAGUGACCGAUAGUGAACCAGUACCGUGAGGGAAAGGUGAAAAGCACCCCGGAAGGGGAGUGAAAUAGAACCUGAAACCGUGUGCUUACAAGUAGUCAGAGCCCGUUAAUGGGUGAUGGCGUGCCUUUUGUAGAAUGAACCGGCGAGUUACGAUUUGAUGCAAGGUUAAGCAGUAAAUGUGGAGCCGUAGCGAAAGCGAGUCUGAAUAGGGCGUUUAGUAUUUGGUCGUAGACCCGAAACCAGGUGAUCUACCCUUGGUCAGGUUGAAGUUCAGGUAACACUGAAUGGAGGACCGAACCGACUUACGUUGAAAAGUGAGCGGAUGAACUGAGGGUAGCGGAGAAAUUCCAAUCGAACCUGGAGAUAGCUGGUUCUCUCCGAAAUAGCUUUAGGGCUAGCCUCAAGUGAUGAUUAUUGGAGGUAGAGCACUGUUUGGACGAGGGGCCCCUCUCGGGUUACCGAAUUCAGACAAACUCCGAAUGCCAAUUAAUUUAACUUGGGAGUCAGAACAUGGGUGAUAAGGUCCGUGUUCGAAAGGGAAACAGCCCAGACCACCAGCUAAGGUCCCAAAAUAUAUGUUAAGUGGAAAAGGAUGUGGCGUUGCCCAGACAACUAGGAUGUUGGCUUAGAAGCAGCCAUCAUUUAAAGAGUGCGUAAUAGCUCACUAGUCGAGUGACACUGCGCCGAAAAUGUACCGGGGCUAAACAUAUUACCGAAGCUGUGGAUUGUCCUUUGGACAAUGGUAGGAGAGCGUUCUAAGGGCGUUGAA
rnacentral:rRNA from 1 species